ACAAUCUCCUGAGGGGCGGCGUGAGGGUCAGAUAAAAGUUGCUUUUCAGGUCGCUCCUCCAAGCCCUGCAGCGACCUCGGGGAGGGGUGAGAUUCCCAAAGCCACUUUCACACCUUCGGUAAUGCACUAGCAAACAGAAGCCCGGAGAGGCUGAAGUUUCCACGCAGGGCACGGUCGGGGAGACGCAGCCCGGGAGGACGGGAGGGUUGGGCUCGCUACCUCUGCACACGGGCGAGCCAGGGCUCCGUCUCUCAGAUGUCUCUCAAACAUUGGUAAUUACAGACCUCAGAGCCAAAGUAUACAAAUACAUAUGCAAAAAGAUGACACUCUAAAUGGGAAAGCUAUGUGACUCUAGAUUUGGAAAGCAGACAGCUGCUAGCAUGAGGGAGAAUACUUGAAAAGAGCAUGGAUUUCCAUUUCAGAAGACCUGCCAGAGACAGACUUCUCAGGAAACAGAAAGAACACAUUUGGACCUGUAAGAUUAAAGGAGGCUUCAGGAGGACCAGACUUCUGUGAAUAGACUUUCUCAGGCAGCACAAGAGCCCACCUGAAUAAUGAGAGACACAUCAGAUGCCUGGCUUGACUUUCUUUGUUCAUCUGUAAAACCUGGUAAUUAAACUGGUGCAGCAAAAGAUGUAAUAUUCAUAAUUGGAAUGAGUCUGCAUUUCCUAUGCCUGAUGAAUUUUUUAGAACUACAUUUAAAGUGACUAACAGGAAACUUAAAGAUCAAAGAAAAGAGUCAGUCAUACUUCUUGAUGUAAAAGGGUGUCUGACAGAAUCUGUUAUCUCUGAGGAUAGAAAAAGAAAGAAUCCAGAAUCACAAUGAUAGCUUUUUAUUUCUACUCUAAGAAAGCAACGGAAGG